rnacentral:rRNA from 1 species
GACGAACGCUGGCGGCGUGCCUAAUACGUGCAAGUCGAGCGGACAGAAGGGAGCUUGCUCCCGGAAGUUAGCGGCGGACGGGCGAGUAACACGUGGGCAACCUACCCUGUAGAUCGGGAUAACAUCGAGGAAUCGGCGCUAAUACCGGAUAAUCAUUUGAAGUGCAUGCUUCGAAUGUAAAAGAUGGCUCCGGCUAUCACUACGGGAUGGGCCCGCGGCGCAUUAGCUAGUUGGUAAGGUAAUGGCUUACCAAGGCAACGAUGCGUAGCCGACCUGGGAGGGGGAGCGGCCACACUGGGACGCGGACACGGCCCAGAGUCCGACGGGAGGCAGCAGUAGGGAAUCUUCCGCAAUGAGCGAAAGUCUGACGGAGCAGCGCCGCGUGAGUGAUGAAGGUUUUCGGAUCGUAAAGCUCUGUCGUUAGGGAAGAACAAGUGCCGUUGGAAUAAGGCGGCACCUUGACGGUACCUAACCAGAAAGCCACGGCUAACUACGUGCCAGCAGCCGCCGUAACAC